UUUCCGUGAUGACAGUGAAUCGACUUGGUCUGUGUUUCUGAAGUAAAAUUGAGAUGACAACCGUCGCGUUUCUGAGAA
rnacentral:snoRNA from 2 species